rnacentral:snRNA from 1 species
CGUCCUUCCACUCCUUCUUCUA